CCUACGGGAGGCAGCAGUGAGGAAUAUUGGUCAAUGGGCGCGAGCCUGAACCAGCCAAGUCGCGUGAAGGAUGACUGCCCUCCGGGUUGUAAACUUCUUUUAUAAGGGAAUAAAGUGAGGCACGUGUGCCGUUUUGUAUGUAUUUUAUGAAUAAGGAAUGGACAACCUCGGGCCAGCAGCCGCGGUAAUACGGAGGAUCCGAGCGUUAUCCGGAUUUAUUGGGUUUAAAGGGAGCGUAGAUGGGUUGUUAAGUCAGUUGUGAAAGUUUGGGGCUCAACCGUAGAAUUGCAAUUGAUACUGGCAGCCUUGAGUGCGGUUGAGGUAGGCGGAAUUCGUGGUGUAGCGGUGAAAUGCUUAGAUAUCACGAAGAACUCCGAUUGCGAAGGCAGCCUACUAGACUGCCACUGACAUUGAUGCUCGAAAGUGUGGGUAUCAAACAGGAUUAGAUACCCUAGUAGUC
rnacentral:rRNA from 1 species